CCUGGCUUCACCUAGACCCACUUACAAGCUGACUACCAGUAGGAAAGGAUCUCUUUUGGAGAUCCCUCCUCUGGAGUUUUGUAGCAAGCCCAGGAUGUGGCUCAACUCGGAGAACACUGACAAGAAAGACUGCAAUCAAUCCAUCUUUCAGACCAGCCAAGAUCAAGUACUUUCAGUGCUGUUGUUUCAGAGAGUAAAAAGAAAAAAAAGGGACAAAUGAAAAAGACCUAUUAGCAGAGACUUGCCAAUUACAAUUGCAUUUAGAAAGCAGUUAGAACCACUCUAUUUGCAUUCUUAUGUGAAACUAGCUUCUCAUAUUAUAUUCAGCUACAGAUAUUCUUCUGUAUGUGAGGAUGUCUAUGAACAUCUGUUUCUUUGUUACCAUUUGCCUCUGAAGGAGUUCAUUGAGUAAAGAGAAAUGCAUUACUAUUGCCAUUCCAACUUAUAAGCAACUAAUAAAUUAAAAAAUAUACACAAUGAUCACUCACACUGACAGCUGUGUUACAGUGAUGAGGGGCUGAAGGAACUUUCAAAAGUCACUUAUUUUGCACUUGUGGAGUGAGAACAUUCUGACUGGUGGCACAGCUGAGCUUACAGGAAAUCUUGCAUGCAGCUUUGGAUAGGCAAGGCCCUUUCUGUUUAGCAGCUGUAAGUGCACAAGAAUACUGGGGAGGAUCAGCUCAAAGGACCACCUACCCUUGCAUUUGUUGGCAGGAAACAUCUUUAAAGAGGUCAAAAUAAACACAUUUUAAUGUUGAAUAUAAAAUAUGUAAGGAUGCUGUCUUAGUCUCCAGCAGUUAAUGAUUCAGAGACUUUGCAUUUAACAGUUUGCAGUAAACAGAAGCUGCUCGAAAAAUAAAGUACCUUUUGUUAGCUUCAGAAUACAAAUAUUUU